GGGUUGUGAGGUUAAGCGACUAAGCGUACACGGUGGAUGCCCUGGCAGUCAGAGGCGAUGAAGGACGUGCUAAUCUGCGAUAAGCGUCGGUAAGGUGAUAUGAACCGUUAUAACCGGCGAUUUCCGAAUGGGGAAACCCAGUGUGAUUCGUCACACUAUCAUUAACUGAAUCCAUAGGUUAAUGAGGCGAACCGGGGGAACUGAAACAUCUAAGUACCCCGAGGAAAAGAAAUCAACCGAGAUUCCCCCAGUAGCGGCGAGCGAACGGGGAGGAGCCCAGAGCCUGAAUCAGUGUGUGUGUUAGUGGAAGCGUCUGGAAAGGCGCGCGAUACAGGGUGACAGCCCCGUACACAAAAAUGCACAUGCUGUGAGCUCGAUGAGUAGGGCGGGACACGUGGUAUCCUGUCUGAAUAUGGGGGGACCAUCCUCCAAGGCUAAAUACUCCUGACUGACCGAUAGUGAACCAGUACCGUGAGGGAAAGGCGAAAAGAACCCCGGCGAGGGGAGUGAAAAAGAACCUGAAACCGUGUACGUACAAGCAGUGGGAGCACAGAGCAAUCUGUGUGACUGCGUACCUUUUGUAUAAUGGGUCAGCGACUUAUAUUCUGUAGCAAGGUUAACCGAAUAGGGGAGCCGAAGGGAAACCGAGUCUUAACUGGGCGUUAAGUUGCAGGGUAUAGACCCGAAACCCGGUGAUCUAGCCAUGGGCAGGUUGAAGGUUGGGUAACACUAACUGGAGGACCGAACCGACUAAUGUUGAAAAAUUAGCGGAUGACUUGUGGCUGGGGGUGAAAGGCCAAUCAAACCGGGAGAUAGCUGGUUCUCCCCGAAAGCUAUUUAGGUAGCGCCUCGUGAAUUCAUCUCCGGGGGUAGAGCACUGUUUCGGCAAGGGGGUCAUCCCGACUUACCAACCCGAUGCAAACUGCGAAUACCGGAGAAUGUUAUCACGGGAGACACACGGCGGGUGCUAACGUCCGUCGUGAAGAGGGAAACAACCCAGACCGCCAGCUAAGGUCCCAAAGUCAUGGUUAAGUGGGAAACGAUGUGGGAAGGCCCAGACAGCCAGGAUGUUGGCUUAGAAGCAGCCAUCAUUUAAAGAAAGCGUAAUAGCUCACUGGUCGAGUCGGCCUGCGCGGAAGAUGUAACGGGGCUAAACCAUG
rnacentral:rRNA from 1 species